UACAGAGGUCCCAAGCGUUGUUCGGAUUCACUGGGCGUAAAGGGUGCGUAGGCGGUCGGGUAAGUCUGACGUGAAAUCUCCAAGCCUAACUUGGAAACUGCGUCGGAUACUAUCCGGCUCGAGGAAUGGAGGGGAGACUGGAAUACUUGGUGUAGCAGUGAAAUGCGUAGAUAUCAAGUGGAACACCAGUGGCGAAGGCGAGUCUCUGGACAUUUCCUGACGCUGAGGCACGAAAGCCAGGGGAGCAAACGGG
rnacentral:rRNA from 1 species